rnacentral:rRNA from 1 species
AGUGAACGUUGGCGGCGUGGAUUAGGCAUGCAAGUCGAGCGAGAACCCGCAAGGGGGACAGCGGCAAACGGGGUAGUAAUGUGUCGGAACGUGCCCAGAGGACGGGGAUAGCGGCGGGAAACUGCCGGUAAUACCCGAUGAUCUCGAGAGAGCAAAGGUGUGAUUCCGCCUUUGGAGCGGCCGACAUGGUAUUAGCUAGUUGGCGGGGUAACGGCCCACCAAGGCUUUGAUGCCUAGGGGAUGUGAGAGCAUGAUCCCCACCAUUGGGACUGAGACACUGCCCAGACACCUACGGGUGGCUGCAGUCGAGAAUCUUCGUCAAUGGGCGAAAGCCUGAACGAGCGACGCCGCGUGCGGGAUGAAGGCCCUUGGGUUGUAAACCGCUGUCGAGGGGGAUGAAGGCAUUCAGGUACUCCUGAAUGUUUGACAGAGCCCUGGAGGAAGCACGGGCUAAGUUCGUGCCAGCAGCCGCCGUAAUAC